rnacentral:tRNA from 1 species
GCUCUAGUCGCCUAGUGGUUAAGGCCUCGUGCUUAUAUGUAUACCGCUCGUUGAGGGUUAAUAUGUUUCGCACCAGUUAAAAGCUGGUUAAGUAACGCGAAGAUCGUGAGUUCGAUCCUCACCUAGAGCA